ACACCUAUAGUUAAUAUUAUUAAUAAUUUAAAAGUGCAAAUUUUAAGUAGCCAGGAAGCUAAGUGUA
rnacentral:tRNA from 1 species